CCCUUAGAUGUUCUGGGCUGCACGCGCGCUACACUGACGUACGCAACGAGUGUCCUUUACCGAGAGGUAUGGGUAAUCAUUUGAGUGUACGUCGUGAUGGGGAUAGAAUAUUGUAAUUAUUACUCUUCAACGAGGAAUUCCUAGUAAGCGCAAGUCAGCAGCUUGCGCUGAUUACGUCCCUGCCCUUUGUACACACCGCCCGUCGCUCCUACCGAUGGGUGAUCCGGUGAAUGAUUCGGACUCGGUUGCCUCUAGCCGCUAGUGGCGCUCGAGAAAGUUUUGUGAACCUUAUCACUUGGAGGAAGGAGAAGUCGUAACA
rnacentral:rRNA from 1 species